rnacentral:rRNA from 1 species
GAUGAACGCUGGCGGCGUGCCUAAUACAUGCAAGUCGAGCGAACGGACGAGAAGCUUGCUUCUCUGAUGUUAGCGGCGGACGGGUGAGUAACACGUGGAUAACCUACCUAUAAGACUGGGAUAACUUCGGGAAACUGGAGCUAAUACCGGAUAAUAUUUUGAACCGCAUGGUUCAAAAGUAAAAGACGGUCUUGCUGUCACUUAUAGAUGGAUCCGCGCUGCAUUAGCUAGUUGGUAAGGUAACGGCUUACCAAGGCAACGAUGCAUAGCCGACCUGAGAGGGUGAUCGGCCACACUGGAACUGAGACACGGUCCAGACUCCUACGGGAGGCAGCAGUAGGGAAUCUUCCGCAAUGGGCGAAAGCCUGACGGAGCAACGCCGCGUGAGUGAUGAAGGUCUUCGGAUCGUAAAACUCUGUUAUUAGGGAAGAACAUAUGUGUAAGUAACUGUGCACAUCUUGACGGUACCUAAUCAGAAAGCCACGACUAACUACGUG